AGGGUCCCAAGAAUGAUAUUUCCCGUUUCCAAUUCCCAUUACAGCUAUAAUCCCCAAUUUCCUGAGAGAGAAAAAUACCAUUCGUAAGUUUAAGUGAACUUUAUGUUCCUUCCCUAGUUCAAUUGAACCCAAAACUUGCAUACCUUUGUUUUCACUGGUACAAAAAGUUGAGUAAGGCGAACUAAAAUAAAGAUGUCCACAGACUAUAUAAAGAAGAAGAAAAUGGAGGAAGAAGCUUCACCGAUUUUAUUGUGUUACAAGAACAAAGUGGAGGAAAGAAUCGGGAUUACUUUCACAUUCUUCAAUAUUUUUUGUUACUGGAAGGAGAGAUAGGGCUAAGCCUUUACCAUUCAAGGGUGAGUCUAGUGGUACUUGGGGCUUUUCUGGAGCUAAUGAUGAUAACCCAAUAAUCAGUGCUGAAUUUAUUGCACCUUGUUACUGUUUGAAUAAGUAAGCCUACUGAUAUAUCUCUAGGUUUUUUGUAUUAUUUAUCUAUAGUCUUUGAAUGUCGUCUGAGAUAAUU